GUCCCGGCCGGGCACGCAUCGCUGCAUGUUGUAGAGUUUGAAGUCUAACUAACUAAUCUGCAGCAAUAAAAAUGGAAAAAAGGGAUGGCUCCUGCAGCAUAACCUGACUGACACCUCAGCUCCAUUGAUAUUUUCCUGCAAGCAAAACCCCGCGAGAAAAAUACGGCUGGUUUGUUGCGCUACUGUAUCGCUGUGGCUACAAACAACAAGCAUCCAUGUCUUGGCUUGAGGGUCGUCGGGAGUCUAAGCCUGCAGUCCACCAGGCGGUGCGACGGCGUUUCUCUGGGCCGCUGAUGCUGCCUCCUCUAUGGAGGAGACACUCUUCUCAGGAGCGCCCAUAUGACAACCGGCGGCUGUCUGCAACACUCGUCCUGCCUCUGGACCGACUGGAAGUGCUGUACAGCCGAGCACUGGCCAGUCAUGGUGA